UAUAGCAGAAAGCCUCAAUGUUCAGCUGAGAUGGGAGGUGGGGUUCAGAUCCACAUAGGGGUUGUCCAGGCCAGGAUUUUUUUCAGCCUUCCUCCCUGGAGCAUCUGGUACUGCUUACGACCAGAAGCACAACCAGAGGCACAAGAGCUGUGAGCCAUGCUGAAAAUGUGUGCAGAUGUGAGGCCAACAGCAGCAGCAGAAAGGCUUUGUCAACACCAGCAAAUCACUGAUUCUACCUCUGCAAGGUCAGCUUCUGAAGGCAACGUGUCUAAGAGCACAGCUCCACAACCGACCUAAAGGAGUGCUGAACCCGUGUGCUUCACAGUGGUUAACCAGGAAGAGGAGGAAGGAUUGUCCUGUUGCUGAUGAGGGCUUUUAGUAAAUACUUCUCUAGUCCUGGCUCUUCUGUUGGACUCCUGAGAUUUGUUAUCUUUGAGUCCUUUCUUGUCAAGGUGGAAAACUUCUCCAAGCCAUGCUGCGUUGCAGUUGUAGUUGGAAACUCAAAGAGAGUAGUCUGAAAGGAUUAGAAGAUUCAUGGGAAUGGAAGCUUUCAGAAGGAGGAAGGGUCAGGUCUGUCUUGGAGAACUCAUCCCCACAGAAGCAAGAGGGAGGCUGUGCCAGUAACUCCUGUGGGAGGCCUAGCUGGGACGCCAUCAUUGGCACUACCCCUGUUCCCUGGCAGGAUUUCAGCCCAUUUCAAGGACUAGCUCAGCUCCUGCCUCUAGAGCCUUGGUCUGCUUGGAAACUCAGACAUCAGUAAGGCAGCUAAGUUUAUAUAUUGAAUCAUAUGAAGUAUGGAUUAUACAGAACAGCCCACUUCUAGUUUUGAGUGAAAGGAGGUCAACAUUUUACAGGACUUCACAGGGCAGAACCCUAAGUACUGCAAGAGUUCCUGACACCAGUGAAUGAGUCCAUGUAACAGAUCAUAAACACAUCACCAAGUCAUGAUUUUGGAACAUCACUUCCUGCUGAUACCUAAAUAUUAAUUGGCUUGAGAUGGAAUUAUCCUGGGCUUAAGGACGUAUUGAGAGAAGAAUCGAGACAUGGGAUGCAGCUGAGCAAAGCUAGAUACAAAUAGUGUAAGCAGUGAUAACUGAACUAGUCACCAUAGCACAAGGUACUAAGAGGUCUCAAUUCACAUUCUCCUAAAUGUCUGAAAUAGUUAGGAUGAACCAGAGCCUCCUGUUUCUUCCAAUCAGCGACUAGGGGGAUGUGAAUGAGCAGCUGAUGUGCAGCUCUCUGCCGCCAGGCAUGGUGAGGUGAGCUCUGUUCUCAGUGCCUGCUGAAAAGGACUGAGUGCCCUCCCCUCGGCAAAGCAUGGUGGAGGAGAAAGAGGGUCUGAGCAAACAUUUAGUGCUGCAGAGGUCAGUGCUUUAGUCUGGGUUGCUACAAGCAGAAUUCUUUUGUUGGUCAAGAAUAUUAAAUAAAAAUGGUAUGUAAAGGAUCAUCAAUUAUUAUUGAUAAUAAGCAUCAAGACUAUCAGAGGUACUCCAUAGAGAAAUAAGUCACAAAAAGAACAUAGAAGCAGCUUAGUACUGCAACAUCAGAACCCCAGACUGUACUCAUAACAGUCUUUAAUCACCACCUUCACCAUGUCCAUUUGUAACUCGUACUUGUUGAAACAUUAUGCUUGCCUUUUGCUUACGGCCUGGUUUUGUGAAGUGCUGAGCAUCCUCAUCUCACAUCAACAUCAACACGUUGUAGACUUUUACCUAGGGAGAGAUGAAAUAUAGCACAUAAUGCUUCAUAUUGCAUAGGUGUGGAAGGCUGUGAAUCAAGGAAACAAUUACUUUUAAAUAAAUGAUGUGCAAAUAGAAAAGUGAUAACGUAAUGCAUGAUUUGAGAGCGAAAGGCCAGCUCCUGUAAAUUCCUUUCAGUAACAGUAAAGAGUGGUGACACUAACAGUGCUGUUCCACGGAGUCUAUUGGCAUUUCCACUAUAUAAUGUGGAUUGCUGGAGAUGGUAUGUCUGCCAGUUCAAGUCAUACUGAGCUGCAAUUUAAUGUGGAAAAAAAAAAGAAUUUUUAAAUUGCUGAAAUGAUGGAAUUUCUCUCUUCACUCCAUGCAUCACAAACAAAACAGAAUUUAAAUUUUAUGUUAUGAACCAUUUGCCAACUCUCAUAUCAUUAACACCUUCCUUUUAUAUGAAUGGAUAAUAGGAAGGAAGAUGAAGAUAAGCUAGCUCAACAUUUAAAAGAUUUGCUCAACACGGACAGUCCUUCCUUUCCGUAAGAUUUUUUGAUACAAAAUGAGAAAUACAUUACAAGCCUGAUUUAACCAUCAUUUUAACAAAAAAACAGUACAGACAAUCUGUAACGAAUGCUUAAGCAUAUCCUUCAAAAAAGAGGUGUCAUGAAAAACACUAGAAGUUAAAUUUACUUGCACCAAAGCUUAUGCUAGCAUUUCCAUUGACUCCAGACGGAGGAGGACUUAGUUCCUGGGAAGUUCAGUUCAAAGAUGGUUGUCUUUCUAUCUGUGAGUCUGGGAGUAUGGGCUCUAUGGCCUUCCACAUGAAUGCUAAGGGGAAUUAAGUGCUACAAAUCCCUGCUUCUGAAAUGAUAAGAAUGUGGAAAUAAAUUACAGUUAAUAUGAGUUUUAGAGUCCCACCAAAAUCUCUGGAUUACCACAUCUGCAGUCCUACUAAAGGUAAAUCUUCACAAGUUCUUGUUAAAUCUGUGACUUAAAGAAGCAGCUCAGGACCUGUUUCAGUAUUUGUUAUCAGGUUUUUCAAAUAUUUCAGUUACACUUACUAGCUGUAGAAACUCUUUGUUUCGGCUGUUGACAGAAUUUUCCAAAUUCACUGUUUGUGAUCUAGAACUAAAGACUGAUUUAUCCAGGAAUUUUUAAAUAAAUUGGUUCAAACUGUUUCUGUCAAUUUGUAGUCCUGUAGGAGCUUCCCAGAGUUGAUUCUGGCUUGGCCUCCAUUUCUAAAUUCUCUGAUGUUUAAAGAUAGUGGCAAGGUAUUUUGGCCACGCAUUUCUAUAAUGUAAGAAAGUCAGAAGUAAGCAAAUUUCUGUUUCUUUUUCCUCUCUUCUUUAUUCACAUUUUCUCAUUGCUUGAGAUGUCUAUACUUUAUACAGUUUUGAAUAUACAGUUGCCCACUUUUGAGCCACUGUAAGGUGGAAUUCAGCAUGCUGUACGUUGUAUGGGUCGGAGGAGAGUUGGGGGGGUGAGGGGAAUAGGUGUGCUGCUGACAUGCUGUCUGCUCAAAAGAUGCUUGAACCCUGCUGUCCUGAGCACAGGAGCACUCAUGGAAUUGGAGGAAUGUUCCUUGCUCUCAUCCCCAGCAAACAGCAGGACUGAAAACCCUCUCCAUAGGCUUCUCCCAAAGACAUGCACCACUGCUCCUGCAGGCUUGUACCACUCUUCCCAUUCUGCUCCUGAUCUACAUAAAUCCCUGCCCCAAACAAAAUCAACAAUGCUCCCCACCCAGAUCUUUUAAAUUCCUGAGCAACUUUGUAGUCACCUUGUUUAGGGCAGAAACAUGUGCUGAACUGUUUCUUACAGCUCAGAAGAGAUGUGCGGUGGUUAAUCCUACCAUUUUCAACAAGGCUGAACUCAGCUUAUAACAAAACAAUCAGCAAAAAUGUAACAACUUCACAACUGUGUAUGUGUGCGUGUAUAGUAUGUGGAAAGGAAUUUGCAAAAGAAUUGAUCAUCUUCCCAUGAAGUUCCAGUAGGAUCCACAAUCAGGAUGAGGAUUCAGUUUAAACCAUUUGUGAGUUUCACAUAGGAAAAAGUGUGUAGUUCUUAGCCAUUUAUUCUGUUGGAACUGUAGAUUCUUGGUGCCCCUAUGGUUUCUUUUUCAGACAUCAAGCCCCACUAUUUUGGUUCAGAGCUAACCCAUUCUGAGCACCAGACUGGGAGCCAGGGAGGCCACAGUAGUUGUGAAGUUUAGACAGUCAGCCACACACAUCUUUUGGGCUGGAACCAGCCUCCACCUGGCCAGUUUCACAGACUAGCCUGGAUUAGCAAGCCUUUGCCUUCCUGAGACCAUGGCAUUUGGAAUGGUUGAAUUACCUAGGGAGGUAUCUCUACUGAUACUUUGCAUAAAAUAGUGCUUGAGUGUGUCAUAUAUGUCUACCCCAAAUUAUGCUGAUGUUGAUGAUCUUAAUAAGACAGCAUUUUAUGCUCUGAAAGGGUUUGUGCAUGAUUCAUUCCGUGGUCACUUGGAGGUAGGAGUUCUGUGAUGCAGUAUGGUCAGCAGCAGGCAUGUUGGGCAAGGAAAGGGAACGGUUAGGAGGCACUCCAUAACCUGACAUCUUCUUAAAGAGUUUAUGUUAAGGUGAGUUAUCACACAUAGCCAACUCUAAUCCCUUCUAAAUGAAGGUUCUGUUUAUAGAAUAUCCAGGUCAGGAUUAUAAAUCUCUGAACAAAUCACCAGGUAUAAUUAAAAGGAAUAAUGCCGAUUAUAUUUUCCAGUCGAUCUCUGUACUCCUUGAACUUCUUACGGAUAAAUACAGAUAGUAUCUCUGUGAACUAAUAGUAACUUGUUUAUUAGUGCACCUUUGUUUUUACCGCUAGCUUGAAAUACAUACCAGUAUUAAACAUUGUAUAUAGCAUAACAAACUGGUUAAUUCUUUCAGUUUUGCAAUGCUGUGUUCAAUUGAACUUUAGAAGUAUUUCCAAAGAAAUUUCCAACCUUUAUUUAUUCUUUGUAUAUAAAUUUGCUUUGCCUUUUUCAUGCCAUUUUUGUGGUCAAUUUGUAGCAGUCAUCUUCAGUUCACCAAUGAGAAUUUCGUAGGAACGGAGGGGUUUCUCAACAAGUCAUGGAAUUUUUGAAUAACAGAAUCUAUGUAAUCUUUGUCAUAUUACUUUGCAACAAAAACCUGAUUCUGAGAGAGAAGAAAAGACAACAAAACAGAAUGGAAUAUCACGUGACCUAAUCUUCCUUUUAAAGAGGUAGCACGUUCAUUUUAAAUUGAAUAUUUGUUAACGACUCCUUGUAAGGAAUUCAGGAAAUGACUAAGAUAACUUUAAAAAGCAAAGCUCUACUGACAGGGAAAAAAAAAUGAAAAAAGACAUUAUAUCUUAGUAGGAUUAACAGGAACAUCUAUGUAUUCUAUCAGUAAAGCCAAUUACUGUAGUCAGUACAGUCGGUACUUGACUAGUAGAUAUUUGGCAUAGUUAAAGGUGGCUUGUAAAGAGUAAGACUAGUACAGAAAUGUUCAAUCCUUUCAAUUAGAGCAUUUUAUCAAAUGCAGUAAACCAGUGUAUAGCUUUACUCUGAGAAAAAGGCCAAGAUGGAAAAAGGAUAAUUAUGCUUUUCAGGUAAAUAACAUUUUCCUGACAGGAGUCCAAGUUAAAAAAAA